GGGAGGCAGCAGUGGGGAAUAUUGCGCAAUGGGCGAAAGCCUGACGCAGCCAUGCCGGCGUGUGUGAAGAAGGCCUUCGGGUAUGUAAAGCACUUUCAAUUGGGAAGAAAGGUUGUACGUUAAUAGCGUGCAGCUGUGACGUUACCUUUAGAAGAAGCACCGGCUAACUCCGUGCCAGCAGCCGCGGUAAUACGGAGGGUGCGAGCGUUAAUCGGAAUUACUGGGCGUAAAGCGCGCGUAGGCGGUUUGUUAAGUCGGAUGUGAAAGCCCUGGGCUCAACCUGGGAACUGCAUUCGAUACUGGCCGACUAGAGUACGAGAGAGGGAGGUAGAAUUCCACGUGUAGCGGUGAAAUGCGUAGAUAUGUGGAGGAAUACCGGUGGCGAAGGCGGCCUCCUGGCUCGAUACUGACGCUGAGGUGCGAAAGCGUGGGUAGCAAACAGGAUUAGAUACCCUGGUAGUCCACGCCGUAAACGAUGUCUACUAGCCGUUGGGAGACUUGAUUUCUUAGUGGCGCAGCUAACGCACUAAGUAGACCGCCUGGGGAGUACGGCCGCAAGGUUAAAACUCAAAUGAAUUGACGGGGGCCCGCACAAGCGGUGGAGCAUGUGGUUUAAUUCGAUGCAACGCGAAGAACCUUACCAGGUCUUGACAUCCUGCGAAUUUUCUAGAGAUAGAUUAGUGCCUUCGGGAACGCAGUGACAGGUGCUGCAUGGCUGUCGUCAGCUCGUGUUGU
rnacentral:rRNA from 1 species